rnacentral:rRNA from 1 species
UACGGGGGGAGCAAGCGUUGUUCGGAUUUACUGGGCGUAAAGGGCGCGUAGGCGGCGUGACAAGUCACUUGUGAAAUCUCCGGGCUUAACUCGGAACGGUCAAGUGAUACUGUCGUGCUAGAGUACAGAAGGGGCAACUGGAAUUCUCGGUGUAGCGGUGAAAUGCGUAGAUAUCGAGAGGAACACCAGUGGCGAAAGCGGCUACCUGGCCCAUUCUUGACGCUGAGGCGCGAAAGCUAGGGGAGCAAACGGG